CUUUCAUACAUUCUUAACCAGAGUGUGCUAAAAUUUUAAAAAUGUGGACAACCAAAACAGACAAACCGGGCUACCAUUGCCGAUUAUUCUCGCCUAAUGUCAAAAAUCUCGCGAGGUGUUGAUCUCGCAUUUCUUGUUCGAUAUCCACCUUCUAUCAGUAUAUAAAUUCAUUGAGUCGCAAAAUAAUU